rnacentral:rRNA from 1 species
CUGGCUCAGAUUGAACGCUGGCGGCGUGCUUAACACAUGCAAGUCGCGCGUGAAAGGACUUCGGUCCGAGUAAAGCGGCGCACGGGUGAGUAACGCGUGGAUGAUCUACCCAUGAGUUGGGAAUAACGGCUGGAAACGGUCGCUAAUACCGAAUACGCUCCGAUUUCAACUUCGGGGGAAAGGUGGCCUCUGCUUGCAAGCUACUGCUCAUGGAUGAGUCCGCGUCCCAUUAGCUAGUUGGUGGGGUAACGGCCCACCAAGGCGACGAUGGGUAGCCGGUCUGAGAGGAUGACCGGCCACACUGGGACUGGAACACGGCCCAGACUCCUACGGGAGGCAGCAGUGGGGAAUAUUGCGCAAUGGGCGAAAGCCUGACGCAGCGACGCCGCGUGAGGGAUGAAAGGUCCUCGGAUCGUAAACCUCUGUCAGGAGGGAAGAACCGCCACGGUGCUAAUCAGCCGUGGUCUGACGGUACCUCCAAAGGAAGCACCGGCUAACUCCGUGCCAGCAGCAGC